UGGGGAAUAUUGCGCAAUGGGCGAAAGCCUGACGCAGCGACGCCGCGUGAGGGAUGAAGGUCUUCGGAUCGUAAACCUCUGUCAGCAGGGAAGAACGGUCACUGUGCUAAUCAGCAGUGAAUUGACGGUACCUGCAAAGGAAGCACCGGCUAACUCCGUGCCAGCAGCCGCGGUAAUACGGAGGGUGCGAGCGUUAAUCGGAAUUACUGGGCGUAAAGCGCACGUAGGCUGUUGUGUAAGUCAGGGGUGAAAUGCCACGGCUCAACCGUGGAACUGCCCUUGAUACUGCAUGACUGGAAUCCGGGAGAGGGUGGCGGAAUUCCGGGUGUAGGAGUGAAAUCCGUAGAUAUCUGGAGGAACAUCAGUGGCGAAGGCGACUAUCUGGCACAUAACUGACGCUGAGGAGCGAAAGCGUGGGUAGCAAACAGG
rnacentral:rRNA from 1 species